GCAUCCAUGGCUGAAUGGUUAAAGCGCCCAACAAGAGGCAAAUUCGUAGGUUCGAUUCCUGCUGGAUG
rnacentral:tRNA from 1 species